CCAUGCUGUGUAGUGGGAAAAUAAGCCGUUGGAGAAUGGCUAACAAAAGAAUAGCUUAAAUGACGGUAAUAAAUAAAUGGCAAAUGAGAUAAAUAUUCCCUGAAAGCACUGCUUUGCCAACAGAGCUUUUGUUGUUGACCUUGCAUUCAGUCUAAACUGUUCUCGUGGGUAGUCUUGUGUGUUGCUUGGAGGUGAAUUGCUGUGAACAGAAGGAAUGUGCAGACUAUAAGCAGUGUUGUGACAAGAGAAAGCGCAUGGAAAAUGCAUGAGAUUGGUUGCAGUCAAAUAUCUACUUUCUUCACUGAAAAGAAAAUCCAAGUGAAUAUGGCAUUAUUAUCUGUAGACUUACUGUGUACUUCACAGAAGCAUGGUCAGUGGUUCUCGGUAGCUGCUUUGGAGCCAAAGAUCAUGAGAGCUUGCCUUGGAUAUUCAGACUCUGAAUCUGCAAUCUCUAGCAAAGAUGCUCUGGAAAAAAGAAAAGGAAAAUCAGGCAGUGUCCAGGUUGCUUCCUGAGACCUCCCCCUGCAAACCCCUGUCUGCCUGCAAACAGGGUAGAAGCUGGAUUUUAGCACAGUUCCAAAUUGCAGUUCAAGAAGAAUGACAAGAAUAUUAUAUGUUACUGUGAAGGUGUCUGCACUAUACUUCAUGUUUUCCAAGUUAAGCAUUUGUUGGAAAAUGGAAAAGAAUCAUGCAGACCUUUUUCCAGUUUAGGGUGUGAAAGCUGAAGUAGAGGAAGAAAAAACUGUGGCUGAAAUAUUUAUGGUUCAGAUGAAAACAAAGAACAUAGAAAUCUCAUAUACAACCAUGUUUUGCUCAGGUUUCCAGUUCAAUCGUGUCUACUCGGACAAAAUUUACAGAGCAGAAUAGCCACAGAAAAUGAGUGAGACUUAAGCUGCUAAAAGUACAAAAUAGAUGGAUGAACAUUAAGAGAAUACUGAUCUAUCAAAGUCAAAUGGUCAGUGAUUUUUUUGAUGAUAGUUGAACAUGGGUAUGUAUGAACUGUCAUCAGGGGAAGAUGUGGAGCAAGUCCAAGGGGGUGAUGAACUGGGCUAUUUGGGGAAUUCAGCAGGUAUAGCUGAGCAAAGGCUAAUGAAACAUAAGAGAACAUCCUUACCUUACUCAAAUUCAGGCAAGACCCAUUCCCCCCACCUCAGCAAGUAAAAUUUCCCCCAGCCCAGGAGUCAUGGCAGUGUGCCCCUAAAUUGACAGAUACUUUCUAACCCUGCUCAAUCUGAAAACCUAGGCUUUCUCUUUGCUGUAAUGUAAAUCCUAAAACUUAUCACUAAAAAAAAUAUACAGAGCCCUUAAAGCAUGGCCCUCAUGCAAUAUUGCUGCCAGGCUGGCUUACUUUGCAGCCUGCUCUUUGCCUUCAUAGCAGCUUCCCAGCUCCACUGCAGCUGGAGCUCUAAGCUUUCUCUUCUCUACCCUAAUUUUUCUGCUGAACCCUAAUAAAAUACCCCCAGGCAUUGUCCUGAUGAAUAACUUCUCCCAGGCCAGGUCCCUUUGCAAUGCAAAUGUGGCUUUGGCAGUUGUUUUCCAGCCCUGCUGCAGUUGGAAAUGAAGAUGGGCACACUCUACCAUAACCCUAUCCCUUGCCCUAUUUUUUUUCUAAUGAACUCCCAGAACCCCAAGGCAUUACCUUGUGCAAAACUUUUCCCAGGCAAGAUCUCUCUGUGGCCUUGGCUUUGGCAGCCCCUUUGCAGCCCCAUUGCAGUUGGAGGUCUAGUCUUGUCCUUUCCAUCUCUACCCUAACCCCAAUUUUCUUGCUACCCCCCUCCCCCCCCCGCCCCCGCAAGCUCCCUGGUAUUGCCCUGAUGCAAAGUUUCUCUUAGGCCAGGUCUGUCUGUAGUUCAUGUUUGGUUUUGGCUGCCUUUUUGCAGCCCCAUUGCAGCUGGAGGUCUAGUCUCUGUCUCUAUCCUAACUGUAACACUAAUUUUCACGAUGAAACCCUCGAAGUCCCGUAGGCGUUGCCCUGGCACAGUACUUUCCCAGGCCAGGUCUAUUUGCUGCUCAUGCUUGUCUCUUGCAGCCCUACUGCAGCUGGAGAUCUAGGCUUUGCCUUUUUUCUUUACUCUUACCAUUAUUUUUUUGGUAACCUAAGGCAUUGCCUUGACACACAAUUUCUCCCAGGCCAGGUCCUUUGCAGUUCAGGUCUGGCUUUAGCUGCCUCUUUCCAGCCCCACUGCAACUGGAGGUUUAGGCUCUCCUUUUCUCUCUACCCUAACCCUACCAAUAACUUGAAUUCUAUCCUUAGUAUCUGCUUGACCCCUACAGAUGUUCCCUAGGCAUGUCCCAGGCAAAUGAUUUUUCCUAUUCCACGUCCUUUUGUAUCUCAUACAUUGCCUUGGUGACCCCUUUCCUGUACUUUUUCUGAUAGUAUGCUGUGUGAGUGUACCGUGUGAGUAUUCUUGACUGUUUUUCCUUUGAGUUAAUCUGAUGAUACUGCAUAGUUGUUCAUGGUUGUGUCAAUGCUGGUGUCUGUUGGGUAGGUCUGCUAUUAGUUUGUAGUAUGCAUGCCAGUAUGCCCUUAGUUUUCUAAGUUAUGUUAUUUUUGAAUAUUACUUUUUAUUGUGACUCAUGAAGAUUUUAUGGAUAAAUUUAACAGAUGUCUGAACUAUGCUCUUAGUGUUUCUUAUGUUUUCAAUGUUUCUGAAAUACACUGUCAUGACAUUUUCUCUGUAGGCAAUGGUAUGCAAUGAGAAUGCAGAAUAUACUGUUGUAAAUGAGGAACUGGUAUAAAAUAUUCUCAGAGUAGUUUCAUAUUCUCAGAGUAGUUGUUUCAGACAUGGAAAUUGUGUAUAUGCAUAUAUUUUGAUAUAAGCCUUUGGAUAUAAAAAAGGCACUAAAGUAAAAAUAUAUCCCAUUACAAAUGUGUGAAGGUUUGCUAUAAAAUACAUUCAUGAUUUACAGUCAUUAUGCAUUUUAUGAUGAUUAGUGGUUUUUUGGAGUGAAGUGUGAAUUUAUUAACAUAAACAUUUAAAACCUUGAGUAUUUAGAUGAAGAAAUCAUUUAUAAAGUGCAACUUAGGUGAAAAAAAGAGAAGAGGUUUUUACACUUGCAAAAGUUCUGCUACAGGUUUACCAAUGUCUCUGCCUUUUUUGACUUUUCUUUACAUUUUUGAAGUUUAUUUUUAACUUUUGAUUUUUGAUUUUAGGAUAGUAAGCUUUUUAAAAAAAGUGUUAUAAGCAGUUACUUUUAUAGUUGAAAUUGCCAGGGUAGUCUAUUCAAACGUUCAGCUUACAAGAAACAUUUAUCUUCUGAAUUCAUUUUUUAAACAUUUUCUUUAAUCACUAAUUCUUAAAGUUAUAAAGAAAAGACUCACUUUUAAUUAAAAGGAGAGUGACACUAUGGUGAGGAUAUAUUAAAGUACGAUGGAGAUAAAAUACAUUUAAAAUUAAAUCUGCUGUAAUAUUGAACAUCAGUAUUGUGGGGUAUGAAACUGAAGCUUUAGAAGAAAUGUCUUUUCAAUUGUAGCAAUACUAUCUUCAUGCGUUUUGAAUCUGACACUAAAUUUAACUAGUAUCAAAGUACCUUGCCCUCCCCCAGCCAUGUUCUGUGAUAUCACAGAAUCGUAAUUUCUGUGUCCAGGAUGAAAAGACUGUUUUUUACAGGUAUAUGUUCCAAUUAUAAUUUCUUCAUCUUCUCUGGCCUGUUACCUUACCUUUUGUUUCUGGAUUGUCUGAAGUGUGUGGUUUAUUUUUUUUAUAUAAUGAUUUCUUAGACUAGAUAUGCUUGGGUAUUUUCUAAAAGCUUUUUUAGGUGGUGCUUCUCAUGCAAAUUAGCUGCCAUGUGCAGUCCGCCCUCCUGGAACCUUCCAGAAAUGGUCUCAGGGCUUCUCGGGGUCUCCGGUGCUGUCUGCCCCCAAUGUUGCGAUGUCAGGGCCAAUCAGAAAGCAGGGCUGUGCCCCCUCUGGCGCACCUCCCCCUGUCCUGUGUUUCCCUGCUGUGCUGCUGCUGCCGCCGGGUUCCAGAAGCUUCUCCUGGGCGUGAGCGGCCCUGUGCCAUGGGUUUUUGUGUGCUUCCUUUAUGGUUUGCCACUGCCACACAGAACUUGUUUGCAAAAAUUUGUCUUGUGACAAUGUUUGAGAUGUUAAGAACUCGCAUGCCCUUAAUGGUUUCUUGCAGUGUCUAAUAUUAAAUUUGCAUGUUGGUAUUCUAAUAAAUUCAAACAAGCAUUCACAUAUAAAUUUGUGAUAUAAAAUGAAAAAUAUUAUCGAAAGACUAUGGAAAAUCCCUGUGGCUUGUCCUUUAAACCUAUCCUGAGUUUGGUACUAAAGGUUCUUUUUCAUCCAAGUGAAACGUGAACAGAAAUAGAUCCCUCUUAGUUAUAAUGGUGGUCAUGUACAACGGGUAUGAAAUGCAACAAAAAUUUGUCUCAGAUUCUAAAGCUCAUCGAAACAGUGAAGCUGUACUUAGCUCAUAGGUUGAUACAGGCAAUACUUACCUGUUGUAUGCAAAAUGGUCUCUGUUCAGGAAAUUUUGGUUCAUUUAUUGUCAGUUAACUCAAACUUUUGAUCACUGAUUCAGGUAUUGAGAAAAAGAAAGCCUAAGCACUUGAGGAAUUAAGUGUCAAUUAAACACUUAAGGAAACCCCUUUCUUCCCCUUUCCUGGACUCAACUUCAGUCAAACACCCCUCCUCCCUCUUGCUAGACUCAAAUCCCCUUGUUUUUGCCACAUGUUACUCAGUCCCUCCCAAUCCCUUUGGUGAGGUGGUGGG